CUUUGCUUCACGUUUCACGCUGCCAUUGCCUUCGUUUUUUUUUAGCCUCCACUGACCCUUCGAGAAGUUCCACGAUUUCCAGACUUCUACUGAUCUAAAUCUCCAGAUAAAGAAGAACGAUCUAGAGAGAGAUAGAGAGAUCGGGUGGGUUUUUUUUUGCUUUGUACAAAGAGAUAGAGAGAGAAAGAAGUAGCUUAUCGAACGAUCGAAGAAGGGAUUGUGGUGUUUUGAUAGAAAGAGAAGUAAGAGUGUUUGGUUUCGAUAAUCUUCAGUCUGUUGCGUUGGUGGGUUUCGGGAUAGUGAGUAUUGCAGAUUCUAUGCAAAAAAGUGUUCGCGUGGUUCUGUUGCCGCUGUUCCUUUGCUCAUUGUUCAGUAUUAUUUCAACGUUGUACACUUCUUUAGCUCUUUCGGAUAGUGUUCUAUCAAGCCCUUUGGCUAUCUCAAAUUCAGUUAUGGCACCGAAAAUGAGAUGCAGCAAACCACACCUGCACUUUCUUGAACCCACUUAUUCCCGAAGCAAAGGAAUACACAGCCGAGUUUUCCAAGCCAGGAGAUAAGGUGAAACUCCUUCCUCCACCGCCUAGACGGCUAACCCCAGAUGAACUCAAGCAACAAGCGAUGAAAUUAGUUUAUGAACUGAAUGCUCCGAAUCCUGAUGCACAUAAAGGCAGUGUUUAUUGCACUGCUUCUAUUUGAAGAUUUUCAGUGCAUAAUGGGUGGUGGUACAAUGCUUGCUCAAACCUGUUAUAAACAGCUGAAACCGAAGGAACACACUGAUGAAUUAGCAUGUGAAAAGCAUGAUGUAAAAAUACCUAUUCCAUGGACUUGAAUGAGUGGUCUGUGCUUAAACCCCUUCCAUCUUCCAUCUUAUGGUACAAGAAGAGAUGCAGCAGCUGGAAGGUUCCAAGUUAUCAUAAAAAGAGGCAGAGAAUACAAAGGUAUAACAGGUUCCAAGUUAUCAUAAGAAGAGACAGAGAAUAGAAAGUGGGAAGAAAAUCUAUCCUUCAGACAAUAAGUCACGAUUCCCUCCGGUGCUAUGGUCCUUAAUUAUUGAAAGCAUUGCCCAGACAAAUCACAGUGUCUACAACUGAGAUACAGAAUGGUACUAACGUAGACGUUUUUGGAUCACCAACUAAAAAGGCAAUUCUACACUGAGGAAUUAAGAUUCUAUUCAAUCUCGAGGAUCAGAGCCCUUUCCAGUGCUCAAUCUAUCCAUAAAAGUUUCAGAUAACUACAACUUGAAUACAGCCGAAGUAGACAACACGCUCUGCUCCAGACACAGAAACAGGAAAUGCAAGCGGCUUUCCAUCGACUAUCAGUGACCCCAACAAUAAUCUGGAUCAACGUUAUCUUCUCAUUAGGUUUGAUUUCAAGUUAAUGAUUUUGGUGGAGAAAUUCGUGUAACGUGUUUUAAUCAUGCAGCCAAAAAAUUCAUGUAUCUGACAAAAACAAUAUAAAUAUUCUGCCAUGUAAUGUUAUAAGAUCACCUUACUUAAAUUGUAAA